GAUGAACGCUGGCGGCGUGCCUAAUACAUGCAAGUCGAGCGAACAGACGAGGAGCUUGCUCGUCUGACGUUAGCGGCGGACGGGUGAGUAACACGUGGAUAACCUACCUAUAAGACUGGGAUAACUUCGGGAAACCGGAGCUAAUACCGGAUAAUAUAUUGAACCGCAUGGUUCAAUAGUGAAAGACGGUUUUGCUGUCACUUAUAGAUGGAUCCGCGCCGCAUUAGCUAGUUGGUAAGGUAACGGCUUACCAAGGCAACGAUGCGUAGCCGACCUGAGAGGGUGAUCGGCCACCUGGGAAGUGAGACACGGACAAGACUACUACGGGAGGCAGCAGUAGGGAAUCUUCCGCAAUGGGCGAAAGCCUGACGGAGCAACGCCGCGUGAGUGAUGAAGGUCUUCGGAUCGUAAAACUCUGUUAUGAGGGAAGAACAAAUGUGUAAGUAACUAUGCACGUCUUGACGGUACCUAAUCAGAAAGCCACGGCUAACUACGUG
rnacentral:rRNA from 1 species